GUUUGAUCGAGUCGAGUGUGGCGAAAAUUUUCAAAAACGAACGCAGUUUUGCAAGAACUCCGGAUUUUUUCUCUAGUUUGUAAGGUCGAAAUAAAUGCAAUAACCGGAAUUCGUCGACGUGGAUAUGUGUACCGAAUCUUCGGAUGAUGAAAGUACCAUCGAGAGCAUAACGGAGCCCAGUCCGACGGAGUCGUUCGUGCCGGAACCAGUCUGUAUUAGCAAAGAUCCAGCUUCUGCUUCGUACUCUCCAUUGAGGCAGAUCACAGAUUGGGAGUUGGACAACAGUAUUAAUGUGUUCUUAAAAGCACAAACUAUUAUUUGAUUAACAUUUGAAACAAGGAGAAACUCUAUUAGGCUUAUUAUAAGAAAGCCAAAGGAUAUACACAAGAGGAAUUGAUUUCAACAUAAGAGUAGAAGAGACCGUAUCAGGGAAAGUGAAGAUUGGCCGGACAUCAAUGUUAGGGAAAAGAAGAAAUUAAACUUGCAGAUUUUUGCCAUACGGAAGAAUACUACAGGACAUCAUGAACCGCAUCGCCGACUGCCCUCCUUGGAUCCGCUGGGAACUCUGUAGCAGACAGCAUAUCAAUUAAAUGAGAAGAGAUAACUGAAUUUGGAUAUCUAUCGCGUUAAAAAAUCUGUAUAUGAGAGGCGCACGACCAGACAACAUGUUUAAUGUUGCGAUAAUUGUCAUCAUAAGCGCUGAGAACGCUCUCCACGACACCACUACACCGGAGAUGCUCAUCCAACGUAUAAUGACUGGACAUGACCCGAGAUAUCAUCCAAAUGAAGUCACGAGCCUUAUCCAUCUCCUUGAACCAAGGCUUGUUUGGGAUUCCUAACCUUCCAUUGUUCCACGAAAUUUCGAGCGUCCUCUGAUAAGAAAUACUGGAAAACUCGUUGAAGCUAUGUGAUCUUUCAUGAAUAUCA